CUGUUUAGGUGGAACGAGGACCGGGCUGUGGAAGCAACAACAGCGGCAGGGACACUCAAUGUUACAGUGGCUUGCUCCAACACAAAGCUAACACACUUGGCAUGGAGGUGCUAGGCGAAAAAAUCUGUCCUGCAUACCAUGAACCCAGAAAAUGAAUUGAUCGGUAUAGAGUACCUGUACAACCAGACAGGCCAGAUUCUUUAGGGUUAUAAACAGGCUAUCGAGACCAAGGCUGAGGAAGAUCCUGUUCAGGAGGAUGAAGUCCUUACUGACUCCAUUGACAGUGUGGAAGACCUCACUGUCUCCACUGAGGGCUUGACUGCCACUGUUGGUAAUGCUGCUGUGGUGUUGGAAAAAACAACGACCUUGGUUACUUGAGCUACUGAUGCAUCCACUAUUACUGCGACAACAGUAACUGAGCGUUCUUCUAGACCAAUACUUCAUUUGCCAACAGAGGCAGAAUACCUUGAGAUGCAUGAGAAGGCUGCCAAGCAACCUGGUCUGGGCCUGCUGAACACCCUCAACCGACUGCAACAAGUGUGCAAAAAGAGCCCUCUGCAAAGUCUAUCAGACACAGCGCACCUGCUUGCGCUACUGAAACUUUUGGACCAGAUGACAUCCCUUGAUAUGACAAGGUUGUGGCCAUGGAGUUCUUCAUGAACAUCCGUGACUGCGGAGCACUGACCAACAGCCAGGUUGACGAGGUUGUAUAGCUGUGGGAGGCCGACAAACGGCCGACAGUCUUACCAGAACGCUUUCCC